rnacentral:snRNA from 1 species
AGAUCAUAAUUUGAAAUAUUUAU